GAUGGAAGAACGUAGCGAAAUGCGAUAAGUAAUGUGAAUUGCAGAAUCCAGUGAAUCAUCGAAUCUUUGAACGCACAUUGCGCCCGCCAGCAUUCUGGCGGGCAUGCCUGUUCGAGCGUCAUUUCAACCCUCGACCUCCCCUUGGGGAGGUCGGCGUUGGGGACCGGCAGCACACCGCCGGCCCUGAAAUGGAGUGGCGGCCCGUCCGCGGCGACCUCUGCGUAGUAAUACAGCUCGCACCGGAACCCCGACGCGGCCACGCCGUAAAACACCCAACUUCUGAACGUUGACCUCGAAUCAGGUAGGACUACCCGCUGAACUUAAGCAUAUCAAUAAGCGGAGGA
rnacentral:misc_RNA from 1 species